rnacentral:rRNA from 1 species
GAUGAACACUGGCGGCGUGCUUAACACAUGCAAGUCGAACGAAGCACUUUAUUUGAUUUCCUUCGGGACUGAUUAUUUUGUGACUGAGUGGCGGACGGGUGAGUAACGCGUGGGUAACCUGCCUUGUACAGGGGGAUAACAGUUGGAAACGGCUGCUAAUACCGCAUAAGCGCACAGCAUCGCAUGAUGCAGUGUGAAAAACUCCGGUGGUAUAAGAUGGACCCGCGUUGGAUUAGCUAGUUGGUGAGGUAACGGCCCACCAAGGCGACGAUCCAUAGCCGACCUGAGAGGGUGACCGGCCACAUUGGGACUGAGACACGGCCCAAACUCCUACGGGAGGCAGCAGUGGGGAAUAUUGCACAAUGGGCGAAAGCCUGAUGCAGCGACGCCGCGUGAGCGAAGAAGUAUUUCGGUAUGUAAAGCUCUAUCAGCAGGGAAGAUAAUGACGGUACCUGACUAAGAAGCACCGGCUAAAUACGUG